AGUGGAUAGAGCGUCGGCCUGCGGACUGAAAGGUCCCGAGUUCGAUUCCGGUCAAGGGCAUAUGCCCGAGUUGGGGGCUUAAACCCUAGUAGG